rnacentral:sRNA from 1 species
CCCAUGGUGAUAAGAUGUGCGUACUCAGA